AGCGAACGCUGGCGGCAGGCUUAACACAUGCAAGUCGAGCGGGCACUUUCGGGUUUCAGCGGCGGACGGGUGAGCAACGCGGGGGAACGCGCCUUCGGGUUCGGAAUAACUCAGGGAAACUUGAGCUAAUACCGGAUACGCCCUUUUGGGGAAAGGCUUGCCGCCGGAGGAUCGGCCCGCGUCUGAUUAGCUAGUUGGUGAGGUAACGGCUCACCAAGGCGACGAUCAGUAGCUGGUCUGAGAGGAUGAUCAGCCACACUGGGACUGAGACACGGCCCAGACUCCUACGGGAGGCAGCAGUGGGGAAUAUUGGACAAUGGGCGCAAGCCUGAUCCAGCCAUGCCGCGUGAGUGAUGAAGGCCUUAGGGUUGUAAAGCUCUUUUAUCCGGGACGAUAAUGACGGUACCGGAGGAAUAAGCCCCGGCUAACUUCGUG
rnacentral:rRNA from 1 species